UUUUCGCUGUUUCUGGUUCGCAAAAGAAACAUCACGUCGGCGCGGCUGCCCUCCCUGACUCAGUGGAUCCCUCGAUCCUGUUUGUUUGUUUGUUUGUCGUCCACUCCACUGACUUCAUGCUUGAAAAGACUCUUUAAUUUCCGCCCCGGCACACCACUGUGUGUCAUCCACAAGGUUUAGCAUGGUGUGUGAAGAGCGGAUCAGUUUCUUUGCAGAGUCUUGCAUGUAUUUUUUUUUUCCUGCUACGCGCGUAACAUGUGCUGACCUGCUAUAUGAGGUAAUGUCGUCAUGAUCGUCGAGAUAUGUUUAUUUUCUUGCACCCUUGUAACUGUGGCUACCAUCUGUUAACGCACGUGUUUUCCAGAAAAUCUGUGAUAAAUAUGUUCUGGGACGAAGGAGCCAGGGGGGCCCUAACGGCGCUGAGUUCACCUUUAUUGUGGAACAUUUACGAACAUGUCACACUACCUGCUUCAUGCCCGUACAGUUUUCCAUCACAAGCACGUAGCCCUGCAACUUUAAAGGGAUGUCAUCAUCGCUGGCGACGGACGGGGACUUUAAAAACAGCAACAGACAGAGCAAGAGCGAGUGGAGGGAAGCCUAAUGUAAUAAUCUAAUCCCAGUGGUCUAAUCAGAAAAGCCACCAACCGAGGCCCAGAAGAACAGGGACAAAGAAAAGAGAGACAGACAAUAGAAACAUCAGAGAAUGCAGGGCGGUGCGAGGAGACCAGGCCCGCCAACUUGUCUGGUCAACGGAAAUAAGAGGCCUGGUUGAUGGACUAAAGUCGGAAGAAGCCAAGUAGACUAGAGAGGAGCACUGACGUCAAAGGCGAGUGAGCACACCAGCAGGGUGCCGGGUCUCCAUGAGGCGACCAGACCUGGUCUGAGGGCUCCGAGAGAUGGCAAGACAGCGCAAGUGGCCUCCGGGAUGCUGACUAGGAGAAGCAGCUGAGGUACCUGUAGCACCUGAGGAGGGAGGGCAGAGCUCCGCCACCACCUCCAAGCCGCCCCUGUAUCUGGUCUGGCUGGCACAAAUAGACUCGCUUAAUUGUGAAUAGACUAUUUUAACAAAUGAAGCUUGCAUUUAAGAAAUGGUUUUAAAAGCUUUUAAGGUUUUAAUGUUUGUGGUCUCUUUCAUGGGAAAAAAAAGAUGUCUUUUUAAUAAAUUGCGUGGUGCACUGUC